UGGAAGCUCCAGUGUUUAUUCUUGGUUUAUGCCGUCGCUCGUCCCGAUCUCUGCGACCUCUGUUGGCCGUUGUAAUUAUUACAGCAGUAAAAGGAGGAAGUUAGGUGAAGUCGUAUAACGAGCAGCCAUGCACAGAGUCCGUCCAUCAAAUUUAGUCGACGGCCUGGUGACGGCGCUGUGGAGCAGCAGGCUGGAGUGGCUGUCCAAAGCCUGGGAGAGAAACCUGCCAAACAAACAGCACAUCUGCUCUGCGAGGAGCUUGGCCAAAGGAUUCAUGUCGCUGCUUGGAUUUACUAUCAUUUUUAUCGUAUCAAUGUGUGAUCCCAGGGGUUUUAUCGUCAUGUUGGACAAAGUCGUGUCGUUCUCGCUCAACACUGAAGUCGGCCUGUUUGUCUUCAUCAUGCUGAGAGAAGCCAGAGAGGACAGAUUCCAGCACCUGGCCGUCCCGCUGCCGGUCGGCGACUGCGUCUUCAGCCUCAGCUGGCUGCUGCCCUGCUACUUCCUGUUUGCGGUCACCUACGACGUGCUGCAGACGCUGGCGGACGUGGCUCACUACCUGCACCUGUACAGCCACGGCCUGGAAGCACACGUCCACAACCUGACCGAGAACUUCACGGCAGCCAAUCUGUCCGUCCUGCUCUGA
rnacentral:lncRNA from 1 species